CUACGGGAUGCAGCAGUAGGGAAUAUUGGUCAAUGGGCGCAAGCCUGAACCAGCCAUCCCGCGUGCAGGAAGAAUGCCCUAUGGGUUGUAAACUGCUUUUAUACAGGAAGAAACCCUCCGACGUGUCGGAGCCUGACUGUACUGUAUGAAUAAGCACCGGCUAACUCCGUGCCAGCGGCCGCGGUAAUACGGAGGGUGCAAGCGUUAUCCGGAUUUACUGGGUUUAAAGGGUGCGUAGGCGGACUAGUAAGUCAGUGGUGAAAGCCUAUGGCUCAACCAUAGAAUUGCCAUUGUUACUAUUAGUCUUGAGUGCGGUUGAAGUAAGCGGAAUGUAACAUGUAGCGGUGAAAUGCAUAGAUAUGUACAGAACACCAAUUGCGAAGGCAGCUUUCUAAACCGUAACUGACGCUCAGGCACGAAAGCGUGGGUAGCGAACAGGAUUAGAUACCCCUGUAGUC
rnacentral:rRNA from 1 species